rnacentral:lncRNA from 1 species
CUGAUCGUCGUAGUGCGUUAAAUUUAAUUUUUCGAUCAUUUUCGCAUUCAUUUUUAUUAUUCAAUUUAAGUCCUACUUACUUAUUUAUUUUACCUUUUCUUUGAUGUAUUGUCAAAAGUUAGCAUGUUUAAAUGGAUCUAUUUAAUAUCUAGUGUACAUUUAUUUUAUUUUAUUAACUAAUUCAUUUCUUUUGUAUUAAUAUUCAAAAACAUAAAAAAAAAUAACAAAAAGAAAAAUAAAAAAAUAGAAACUCCAACGUCUCUCUUCC